rnacentral:rRNA from 1 species
AUUGAACGCUGGCGGCAUGCCUUACACAUGCAAGUCGAACGGUAACAGGUUAAGCUGACGAGUGGCGAACGGGUGAGUAAUGUAUCGGAACGUGCCCAGUCGUGGGGGAUAACUACUCGAAAGAGUGGCUAAUACCGCAUACGACCUGAGGGUGAAAGCGGGGGACCGGAAGGCCUCGCGCGGUUGGAGCGGCCGAUAUCAGAUUAGCUAGUUGGUGGGGUAAAAGCCCACCAAGGCGACGAUCUGUAGCUGGUCUGAGAGGACGACCAGCCACACUGGGACUGAGACACGGCCCAGACUCCUACGGGAGGCAGCAGUGGGGAAUUUUGGACAAUGGACGCAAGUCUGAUCCAGCCAUGCCGCGUGCGGGAAGAAGGCCUUCGGGUUGUAAACCGCUUUUGUCAGGGAAGAAACGAGUUUCUCUAAUACAGAGACUUAAUGACGGUACCUGAAGAAUAAGCACCGGCUAACUACGUGCCAGCAGCCGCGGUAACAC